rnacentral:rRNA from 1 species
AUUGAACGCUGGCGGCAGGCCUAACACAUGCAAGUCGAGCGGCAGCGGGACCUUCGGGUCGCCGGCGAGCGGCGGACGGGUGAGUAAUGCCUAGGAAUCUGCCUGUUAGUGGGGGAUAACGCGGGGAAACUCGCGCUAAUACCGCAUACGUCCUACGGGAGAAAGUGGGGGACCCUCGGGCCUCACGCUAACAGAUGAGCCUAGGUCGGAUUAGCUAGUUGGUGGGGUAAAGGCCCACCAAGGCGACGAUCCGUAACUGGUCUGAGAGGAUGAGCAGUCACAAUGGAACUGAGACACGGUCCAGACUCCUACGGGAGGCAGCAGUGGGGAAUAUUGGACAAUGGGCGAAAGCCUGAUCCAGCCAUGCCGCGUGUGUGAAGAAGGUCUUCGGAUUGUAAAGCACUUUAAGUUGGGAGGAAGGGCGCUCGGUGAAUACCCAGGCGUCUUGACGUUACCGACAGAAUAAGCACCGGCUAACUUCGUGCCAGCCGCCGCGGUAACAC